rnacentral:rRNA from 1 species
AGUGAACGCUGGCGGUAGGCCUAACACAUGCAAGUCGAACGGCAGCACAGAGGAGCUUGCUCCUUGGGUGGCGAGUGGCGGACGGGUGAGGAAUACAUCGGAAUCUACUCUGUCGUGGGGGAUAACGUAGGGAAACUUACGCUAAUACCGCAUACGACAUACGGGUGAAAGCAGGGGACCUUCGGGCCUUGCGCGAUUGAAUGAGCCGAUGUCGGAGUAGAUAGUUGGCGGGGGAAGGGCCCACCAAGGCGGCGAUCCGGUGCUGGUCUGUGAGGAUGAGCAGCCACGCUGGGACUGAGACACGGGCCAGACUCCUACGGGAGGCAGCAGUGGGGAAUAUUGGACAAUGGGCGCAAGCCUGAUCCAUCCAUACCGCGUGGGUGAAGAAGGCCUUCGGGUUGUAAAGCCCUUUUGUUGGGAAAGAAAUCCAGCUGGCUAAUACCCGGUUGGGAUGACGGUACCCAAAGAAUAAGCACCGGCUAACUUCGUGCCAGCCGCCGCAGUAA